rnacentral:rRNA from 1 species
GGGGAUAACCCCUGGGAAACUGGGGCUAAUACCGGAUAGAGCAUCAAUCGCUGGAAUGCAUGAUGCUCGAAAACUACGGUGCCCAAGGAUAGGUCUGCGGCUGAUUAGGUUGUUGUUGAUGUAAUGGACCAACAAGCCUACGAUCGGUACGGGUUGUGAGAGCAAUAGCCCGGAGAUGGGUUCUGAGAAAAGAACCCAGGUCCUACGGGACGCAUCAGGCGCGAAAACUUUACAAUGUGCGAAAGCACGAUAAGGGAACUCUGAGUGCCCCCUAAGGGGGCUGUUCUAGUGUCUAAAAAGCAAUAGAAGUAAGGGCUGGGCAAGACCGGUGCCAGCCGCCGCGGUAACACCGGCAGCCCAAGUGGUAGCCACGUUUAUUGGGUCUAAAGCGUUCGUAGCCGGCUUGGUAAGUUCCUUGGGAAAUCUGGCAGCUUAACUGUCAGGCUUCUAAGGGAUACUGUCAGGCUUGGGACCGGAAGAGGUAAGGGGUACUCCAGGGGUAGGAGUGAAAUCUUGUAAUCCCUGGGGGACCAUCUGUGGCGAAGGCGCCUUACCAGAACGGGUCCGACGGUGAGGGACGAAAGCUAGGGGAGCAAACCGGAUUAGAUACCCGGGUAGUCCUAGCUGUAAACGAUGCUCGCUAGGUGUCAGACACGGUGCGACCGUGUUUGGUGCCGCAGGGAAGCCGUUAAGCGAGCCACCUGGGAAGUACGGUCGCAAGGCUGAAACUUAAAGGAAUUGGCGGGGGAGCACUACAACGGGUGGAGCCUGCGGUUU